rnacentral:rRNA from 1 species
UACGGAGGAUGCGAGCGUUAUCCGGAUUUAUUGGGUUUAAAGGGUGCGUAGGCGGAUUUGUAAGUCAGCGGUAAAAAUGCGGUGCUCAACGCCGUAUCGCCGUUGAAACUGACACCCUUGAGUGAGUGAGAAGUAAGCGGAAUGCGUGGUGUAGCGGUGAAAUGCAUAGAUAUCACGCAGAACGCCGAUUGCGAAGGCAGCAUACCGGCGCCCAACUGACGCUGAAGCACGAAAGCGUGGGUAUCGAACAGG